UACGUAGGGUGCGAGCGUUAAUCGGAAUUACUGGGCGUAAAGCGUGCGCAGGCGGUUCGUUAUGUCCGUUGUGAAAGCCCCGGGCUCAACCUGGGAAUGGCAAUGGAAACUGGCGGGCUAGAGUGUGGCAGAGGGGGGUGGAAUUCCGCGUGUAGCAGUGAAAUGCGUAGAGAUGCGGAGGAACACAGAUGGCGAAGGCAGCCCCCUGGGCUAGCACUGACGCUCAGGCACGAAAGCGUGGGGAGCAAACAGG
rnacentral:rRNA from 1 species